AGCAGCCGCGGUAAUUCCAGCUCCAAUAGCGUAUAUUAAAGUUGUUGCAGUUAAAAAGCUCGUAGUUGAAUUUCGGGAUUGACGUGAUGGUCGUGCCUUACGGGGUAUGAACUGUUGCAGUCAAUUUCUCACCUUCUGGAGAAAUAUGAUGUCCUUAAUUGGGUGUCAUAUGGAACCAGAACUUUUACCUUGAAAAAAUUAGAGUGUUUAAAGCAGGCUUAUUGCUCGAAUACAUUAGCAUGGAAUAAUAAAAUAGGACGGCAUGGUUCUAUUUUGUUGGUUUCUAGGAUCACCGUAAUGAUUAAUAGGGAUAGUUGGGGGCAUUAGUAUUCAAUUGUCAGAGGUGAAAUUCUUGGAUUUAUUGAAGACUAACUACUGCGAAAGCAUUUGCCAAGGAUGUUUUCAUUAAUCAAGAACGAAAGUUAGGGGAUCGAAGACGAUCAGAUACCGUCGUAGUCUUAACCAUAAACUAUGCCGACUAGGAAUCAGACGAUGUUAAUUUUUUAAUGACU
rnacentral:rRNA from 1 species